rnacentral:misc_RNA from 1 species
AAAGUCGUAACAAGGUUUCCGUAGGUGAACCUGCGGAAGGAUCAUUAUCGUGGGGCUCCGGCCCCGUCGAGAUAGCACCCUUGCCUUUACAGUACCGCCCGUUUCCUCGGCAGGCUCGCCUGCCAAUGGGGACCCAAACAUAAACCUGAAUCACCCGUCAUAGUCUGAGAAAAUCAUAAAAAUUAAAACUUUCAACAACGGAUCUCUUGGUUCUG